UGCUGCUUUGCUGACGAGUGGCGGAGGGUGAGUAAUGUCUGGGAAACUGCCUGAUGGAGGGGGAUAACUACUGGAAACGGUAGCUAAUACCGCAUAACGUCGCAAGACCAAAGAGGGGGACCUUCGGGCCUCUUGCCAUCGGAUGUGCCCAGAUGGGAUUAGCUAGUAGGUGGGGUAACGGCUCACCUAGGCGACGAUCCCUAGCUGGUCUGAGAGGAUGACCAGCCACACUGGAACUGAGACACGGUCCAGACUCCUACGGGAGGCAGCAGUGGGGAAUAUUGCACAAUGGGCGCAAGCCUGAUGCAGCCAUGCCGCGUGUAUGAAGAAGGCCUUCGGGUUGUAAAGUACUUUCAGCGGGGAGGAAGGCGAUAAGGUUAAUAACCUUGUCGAUUGACGUUACCCGCAGAAGAAGCACCGGCUAACUCCGUGCCAGCAGCCGCGGUAAUACGGAGGGUGCAAGCGUUAAUCGGAAUUACUGGGCGUAAAGCGCACGCAGGCGGUCUGUCAAGUCGGAUGUGAAAUCCCCGGGCUCAACCUGGGAACUGCAUUCGAAACUGGCAGGCUAGAUUCUUGUAAAGGGGGGUAGAAUUCCAGGUGUAGCGGUGAAAUGCAUAGAGAUCUGGAGGAAUACCGUGUGGCGAGGCGGCCCCCUGGACAAGACUGACGCUCAGGUGCAAAAAGCGUGGGGAGCAACAGGAUUAGAUA
rnacentral:rRNA from 1 species